GCUCCCUUAACUCAAUGGUAGAGUCCGGUAUAUCCGGCAUGUGGCGGUUCGAUUCCGUUAGGGAGCU
rnacentral:tRNA from 1 species